GUAAAAUACAUAUGACGGCGUUAACGAUAUUUAUGUUAUAUAGCACGUGCAAUAGGAGUGACUCACACAAGCCAGGCGCGCCGGCCGUGUCGUUCCACUCGUAAACAACAGCUGCAACAGAAGUGACUCAUAAGCCAGCUGCGCCGGCUAGUAUAAAAAGGCGGAACGUGCCUUGAAAUGAACAUUCGUUGGACUGCGCUUGCCCAGUGCACUUACUAUAUCCUUGUUACGUUGUGUGAUUCAGUGACUGUUGUACGUACUGGUUAAAGUUGGACAAGUGUUAAAGUGAAUUGUUAAGAUAACAACAUAUUGUUGAUUAAAUCAGGAAUCAAAAGGUGACAUCGUUUUACUUGGUGUUCAACAAGAUAAUGUCUACCCUCAAGCUUACAUCAGAAGUGAGAUCAGGACUCUACUCUCACUGGCGUGACGUGUUUGAACAUGUUCGAAGUACAGCAAAAAAAACAUGAUGCAGAUCAGAAUACUAGUAGUGGUACGCCACAAGAGCGUGAAUGCAGCAUACGUAAGUCGUGUAAUAACGUCUCUGUUACCUCGAUUGAAGAUCUGAGCCACGAAGAAAUCGUCACAUCUUACGUUCUGGCUCAUGUUGCCCAGUUUGACUGUCGACGUCAUCACAUGGCGUUUACUAACGGAAAUACAACACGUAACAAGCUAUUGCAAGAAAUUAAGGCAAGUGCAAAUCUCAAGUGAAACUUCGAUCGCAAUAAUGGAUCUGUCACGACGAGUGGGUAGUUCCGACACGAAUCGUUUUUAAGCCAAUGACUACUGCUAGUGUUACAUGGCACUAGUACAGUAAACCAGGACAUGAGACUGUGAAUUGUCGCUGAAAUUUUAGAAUCUACUCGAUUCAAUACCAAUAACACUACACGUUCGAUGACUUCGGGCUCCAGCAAGCAAGCAAACAAGAAAGCAAGCAAGUUUCCGUGGGGAAGAAAAAUUGACACAUCUGAAGUCGUCGUGACCUGUAAGAUAAGACGUCCGGUGCGUUCGUGUCUGGCGAUGCGGCGGUGUUCGGGUUCCGCUGGCGGAUGCAGGUUUUUCCGGUGAAGUGCGUGCUUGUGCGUGCUUGACAAGUGUUCGCGGUUGGCUUCCUCAGUGUGGGAGUAACAUCGUGUAAGAAAGGUGGAACCCGUAAAAUUGCAGUUUGCGUGGUGGCUGGUAAGAUUUGUUGCGGUAAGAAGUUUGCAUGGUGGUAAAAUGUCUUGUGAGUCUGCACAGGUAGCCGGAGGUGAGACUUCCGCGGUCGCGGCCCACCCAGUCCGCGAGAACCGGGCAGAUCGCCUCGACGGUACAGAGGCCGGCUGACGGGUCCGCCAAACGACGAGACCACGCCUCCAGCACGGACUGCCGAUAUUGGAGCCCCCGCGCUCCGGCUGCACUUGCGCUAGGGCGCGCCGCCUCGUAGGAGACUGUGAGGUGCUGUGGCAGGUCCAACCAGAGACGUCAACGUGUGUUCCAGAGCUUCAGUGUGUUACAGAUAAGUGGUUUUGGCUUCCCCUUUAUGUUCCAUUCAGGGUCAGGAUGUAGUCUUAUAAAACAAAGCCAUAGUAAUUUAUUCAAUGGUAAGCGGUUUCAUGAACAAGUCACUCUUUGAUCUGAAAGUAGCUCGGACCAAUCAUGGCAAGAGCAGUUAGGGGAUAUUCAACUCGCCCUUAAUAGUGCACGUUGUCGAGUAACAGGGUUUACUCCAAUAGAAUAGACGUUUGCCGUUCAGGGUAGUUCACUUGAAAUAUCUUAAAGUUUCAACAGAGUGAUAAUCCCUCUAGAUUAGAUCUUGAUUUAGCACGGUCGAAGACUGGCGAAAACAUAAAAAAGGGCACAAACAGAAGCUUGGUUUAGUCGAGGCAAAGCUAAAGUCAAACUCUUUUCCGGGAUUUUGUUUUCGUAAGUUGACCGAAAAUGUAAAGGUCCCUUCAACAUUACUGCAGUUUUGGAAAACGAUAGGUAUAAAUUGAGACAUGUAAAUAGUUCUAAUAGAGUGUACAAAUUUCCCCAUGAAAACUUACGUGAAAUACCUCGAGGCCCGUCAGGCCUACUAGAAAUUUCUGAAAAUUAUAGUGACGAUGACGUGACGGCGUACACGGAUGGGUUAAUUAAUCUUGUUCAUGAAACUGAUCUUAAUGAUGACGACUCUAUCACUGACAAUAGAAGUGACAUUUUUGUCCGCAAAUAGCGAUACAGCAAACAUAGUCUGUGGGUAGUGAUACAAUGUCUGUAAGCUCAGGCACCUCAGGUGCAGGUGUUGGAAAUGUAGAAAACGAUGGUCAGUCUCGCACUAUUUCUGAAGAAAUUCCGUAUAAAUGUUCUGGUUUAAGAAAUGUUUUAACAAACGCUACCGUACAGGAAAAUAAAAAAAAAUAAAAUAAAAAAAAGAGAAUUGUAUGUGGCUAGAGAGAUGUUAAUCCGGACUAGCAAAAAAAAAAGAGGAAAAAAAAAAAGAAAGUGUGAAGUCAUUGAAGGGUCUGUCCGGUCCAAUGGCUUGGCUAUAGGGAUUUUCAUCCAGAUUAGCCACAACAAUUAGCUACAGGGAUUGCGAUUCGGUCUAGCAUUAUCCGGUCCAGUUCGAAAAACUGAAGGGAUAACAAUUCCGGUCUAAGUUAAAAGGGACAUACUUACAUACCUGAAGAGUUUUAAAUGAACUGGCCCAGGUAUGUAAGCAGUCUGAAGGUUAUUUAUAGCCAGUAUAGGAUUUUCUGAAGAAUUAUGCGAACCGAACCGUACUAGAUUGUUAAUAUCAUAGACCACGUUUUAAGUUGCAUCCGUUAAUGUCAGGAUGAACGAACACGUUUGUUGUUCACAGACAUACCAUAAGAAUGCGCGCACGAGGACGAGCGCACGUCAGUAUGGCCGUGACGGCGUUAACGAUAUUUAUGUUAUAUAGCACGUGCAAUAGGAGUGACUCACACAAGCCAGGCGCGCCGGCCGUGUCGUUCCACUCGUAAACAACAGCUGCAACAGAAGUGACUCAUAAGCCAGCUGCGCCGGCUAGUAUAAAAAGGCGGAACGUGCCUUGAAAUGAACAUUCGUUGGACUGCGCUUGCCCAGUGCACUUACUAUAUCCUUGUUACGUUGUGUGAUUCAGUGACUGUUGUACGUACUGGUUAAAGUUGGACAAGUGUUAAAGUGAAUUGUUAAGAUAACAACAUAUUGUUGAUUAAAUCAGGAAUCAAAA